rnacentral:rRNA from 1 species
UACAGAGGGUGCAAGCGUUAAUCGGAAUUACUGGGCGUAAAGCGUGCGUAGACGGUUAUUUAAGUCAGGUGUGAAAGCCCCGGGCUCAACCUGGGAAUUGCAUUUGUGACUGCACGGCUAGAGUGUGUCAGAGGGGGGUAGGAAUUCCACGUGUAGCAGUGAAAUGCGUAGAGAUGUGGAGGAACACCGAUGGCGAAGGCAGCCCCCUGGGUCAAAACUGACGCUCAUGCACGAAAGCGUGGGGAGCAAACAGG